CAUUUCACUCAUGUUCUAAUAAUUCUAGUCACUUUACACUCUCAUUCUGAUUCUGAUCUCACUGAAAAUCAUGUCAAGAAAUGGACUGGGAUCAAAUCAAAUCAAAUCAAACAUGAAAUUCAUGGUCCCAUCGGCCAGCCUAAACCCAUCACACUAGAUAUAUAAGAAUCUGCUAUAAGAGAAGAUAUGGACAUGAAUUGAGUAGAUUUCUAUACAUAUUAAAAAGAUUAUAGUGUUAAAAGAUGGCAAUGAGUAUAGAGAAGAAAGAUGACAUAAGCAGAUGGAGGAAUAGAAUACUCAUCUGACUCUGAAAUGACAGAUUGGCAGACAGAUUACAUGUUAUAAAGUGUGACAGAUUCCAUGUUGAAUGGCAGUGG
rnacentral:sRNA from 1 species